AUACGGAGGGUGCAAGCGUUACUCGGAAUCACUGGGCGUAAAGCGCGCGCAGGCGGCUUGAUAAGUUGGAUGUGAAAGCCUACGGCUCAACCGUAGAACUGCAUCCAAAACUAUUAGACUAGAGUGUGGGAGAGGAAGAUGGAAUUAGUUGUGUAGGGGUAAAAUCCGUAGAGAUAACUAGGAAUACCAAAAGCGAAGGCAAUCUUCUGGAACACUACUGACGCUGAGGCGCGAAAGCGUGGGGAGCAAACAGGAUUAGAAACCCCGGUAGUCC
rnacentral:rRNA from 1 species